rnacentral:rRNA from 1 species
UACGUAGGGCGCAAGCGUUGUCCGGAAUUAUUGGGCGUAAAGAGCUCGUAGGCGGCCUGUUGCGUCCGCUGUGAAAUCCCGGGGCUCAACCCCGGGCCUGCAGUGGAUACGGGCUGGCUGGAGGCAGGCAGGGGAGAACGGAAUUCCUGGUGUAGCGGUGAAAUGCGCAGAUAUCGGGAGGAACACCUGUGGCGAAAGCGGCGCACUGGACCACAACUGACGCUGAGGCGCGAAAGCUAGGGGAGCAAACAGG